rnacentral:rRNA from 1 species
GAUGAACGCUAGCGGCAGGCUUAACACAUGCAAGUCGAGGGGUAUAGGGAGCUUGCUUCCUAGAGACCGGCGCACGGGUGCGUAACGCGUAUGCAAUCUACCUUUUGCAGAGGGAUAGCCCAGAGAAAUUUGGAUUAAUACCUCAUAGUAUGUGAGAAUGGCAUCAUUUUCACAUUAAAGUCACAACGGCAAAGAUGAGCAUGCGUCCCAUUAGCUUGUUGGUAAGGUAACGGCUUACCAAGGCUACGAUGGGUAGGGUCCUGAGAGGGAGAUCCCCCACACUGGUACUGAGACACGGCCCAGACUCCUACGGGAGGCAACAGUGAGGAAUAUUGGUCAAUGGGCGCAAGCCUGAACCAGCCAUGCCGCGUGCAGGAAGACGGUCCUAUGGAUUGUAAACUGCUUUUAUACAGGAAGAAACCCUCCACGUGUGGGAGCUUGACGGUACUGUAAGAAUAAGGAUCGGCUAACUCCGUGCCAGCAGCCG